rnacentral:misc_RNA from 1 species
CACGAGAAAGCGAUGCGGUAUCCCCGCGGUCAGGGCGUGCAGUUCCUCGUGUCUCGUGUGUGAUAGUGGCAUUUUUGUUUUUUUUUGUUGUUUAUUAUUUACAAUAAAAUAAUAUUGUGAUUAUAAUUAUUAUUAAUACAUAUUAAUAAUUAUAAAUAAUAUAACAAUUAAUAAUACAUCAUUAUUUAAAAUAAAUUUUUCAUCAUUUUUUAUUUUCCUGUUCAUCAAAAAAUUGGUACACACAUAUACCAAUAAAAUUUACUCAUAAAUUACAUACACAUAUACAAUAGUGACGACACUGAGAAAAAAAGUAUAAAAAACUGUGUGAAUCUCGUCCCAGUGUGACGACAAAAAUAUAUAUAUAUAUCACACAUAUAUAUAUAUUAAUAUAAAAAAAAAAAAAAAAGUUUCUUGUGAUAAAAAAAAAAAAUCCAGAACUCCUGAUUAUUAGUCAUUUAUAAUUAGUUCUAUAAAAAGUACCAAAUAAUAAUGUAAAUUGUGAAUUUAAAAAAAUAUUAUUUAUAUAUUAUUUUAAAUAAAAAAUUAAGUGGUAGAAAGUGUUAAAUAUAUCUAUAUAAAUAUAAAUAACAUUUUUUUUUUUUUUUUAUAUAUGUAUAUAAUAAUAAUAUAAAAUAUUGAUGUUGAUGUGUGUGAGGAAAGUUUGUCGGAGCGUGUCGGCGACGCUGUGUAUAUGACGGAGGUGAAUGCACGAGAGACGACAACGACGACGACGACGACGACGGAGUUUUGUCCCCCUUGUAUGUGUACGUCUCUACCUUAAUAAUAACAACAACGAGUUAUCAAGUGCGUCUGUGUUGUGUACCUCAUAUUAAAAUUACGUACAACGCGACAGUAAAAUUUUUGAGGGAAAAAAAAAAAAAAAAUCUAAAAUUAUUAUUGUUUUUUUUAUUUAAAUAUUAUAAAUAUUAUUAUUAUAAAUUAGUAUCUAGAGCGUCAAAAAGAUACAAAAAACAAGUAAAAAAAAAAUAGUGUGAGAGAGUGUAGAAAUCACAACAACAACAACAGAGAAAACUUCAAACAACUCCAAAAUAAAACAACUACUCCAAAUAAGUGUUUUAUUAAUAGCCAAAAUUUAUAUAAAAAAAUAUUAUUAAAUAAUAUUAAAAAUAUACAUAUGUUGUCACCGGUUUAAAUUGAAAAUUAUUAUUUAAAAAAAAAUAUAAAUAAUAUAAACGUCAAAUAAGAGAGGAUUAAAAAUUUGUGAAAAUUUAUUUGAUAAUUGAGUGAAUAAUAUUUGCUUGAUAUAAUAAUAAUUAUUAUAAAAAAUAUAAACAAAAAAAAGGACAAAUUAAUUUGAAUAAAUUAUCAAAAAAAAAAAGAGAGAGAGACAGAGUGGGGAGUGACGUUGCUGGGCGUCGAAAUUGGACGUUACACGUUUUGUUGUUAUUUUGCCGUGGUGCUUUUGACCCUUUGGCGGGCGAGUUCACUGCAGGCAUUGCCGCGGGGGUGUUCGGUGCCUUCGUGCGUAGCGACGCAAACGGUCACGAUCGCCGUCAUCCCCUAUUGUCGCUUUUCAUCCCCCUUUUAUUUUUAUUUUUUUUAAUUUUCCUCUCUUGCAACACACUACCGCCUUCUCUUAAACAGCUACAUUAUUAAUAAAUUAUUACAAUAAAUAAUGUUUUUAAUUAUUAAUUCUUGACAAUUAAUUAUUUGAAAAAAAAAAACAUAUACAUAUAAGCUUUUUUCAAUAAUUGAGAUAUAAUUUUUUAAACAAAAUAUAUACGUAAUAAUUUUAAGCUGUCAAUAUUUCAUGAUAUAAAUAUUUGAUUAAUUUUAAAACUGUGUGACAACUGUGUUAAUUUGACAGAUGGAAUGAUAAUAAUAAUAUACAGGAAAAAAAAAUAUAUCUUGCUUUGGGAUAUAUAAAAAAAAAAUUGACAAAUCAAGUUGAUAAAAUUAGCAACAAUUGAAGAUUAUCUAGAACGUAAAUCAGUGAUUAAUUUGUGAAUUGUUUGUGCAAAUUAUUAACGUGUUUUAUUUAUUUAUUUGAAAGUUUUUCUUUUUUUUUGUUUUUUUGUGUACACGUUGCUUCUCUGACAACACCAGUGGAUUUUGUGUGAAUCAACAAACUAGUGAAUUUAUUUAUUGUGUAAAAAAGUUUUAUAAAUAAUUAAACUAUAUAUUUGUUUUUUAAAUUUUAUUUAUUUAUUUGUGGAUAUUUUGUUGGUGAUUGUUUUGGAUACCUCAUGACACGUUUUAUCAAAAAAACAAAAUUAUUUUUGUGACAUCUUUAUUGUGCCACGAAUAAGUUUUGAAAAGACAACAAAGUAUAUAACCCAAGAUCCAGUAAUGCCUCUUCACUCAUAUAAAUAAGCUAAAAAAAAAUAUUACGUAUAAAUACAGGGUAAUCAUCUUAUAAUAAAAAUUUAAUUAAAUAAAACUGUAUAGGUGAUUUGAGUGAUCACUUUUUUCCAUAAAAUAAAAUAAUAAAAAAUAAAAAAAAUAAUAAGGGAAAGAAAGGAGGGCCUGACGAGCCCCAUGUUGUGAGUGUCACAAAAUCUGCCGCAGGCAGUGAAAAAGUGGAUCUGCUGGUAUGGAGUAUGACGGUGGUGGUGGCGGCGGUGGAGGCGGUGGAAGUAGCACUAGUGGAGCCCGAGAAGAAUUUCAAGAUUCACCACCAGGUCCACACGUUAUUCCUGGUAACCCUCAAUCAAUUGAGGCCUACAGAGCAUGGUGUAGACAUGAGCAGUUGAUGAUGAUAGAGCUUGCAGAACAAGAAAUGUGUGGUCGAGGUCGGGGAAGUGUUCAACAACCUACAGCAAGUACACGCGUUAUCCCAAGCACUGAUGCAGUUGAUGCAGCAUGGCUCAAACGUGAACAGCUGUUUAUGUCACAAUUAUCAAAAGAAUCACAACAACUGAGUGGCAGAUCAGGAAGUGGUGGUGGACCACUUUAUGGAAGAUUGGUGUCCGAAGAACCACCGCUACCAGUAUGUGGAUCUGGAAGUGGUACAACGAGUAGCCUACCGUUGGAAAAACCAGCAGAUAUUCAUGCGAUGCAAGCAAGAAUACCUCAUAGAUUUCGAGAUCCAGCAACAGCUCCACUCAGAAAACUUAGUGUAGAUCUUAUUAAAACCUACAAGCACAUUAACGAGGUAUACUAUGCCAAGAAAAAAAGAAGAGCGCAACAAAUGCAAGGUGAAGAUAGCUCUCAUAAAAAAGAAAGAAAACUUUAUAAUGAUGGCUGGGAUGAUGACAACCACGAUUAUAUAAUUAAAAAUGGUGAAAAAUUUUUAGAUCGAUAUGAGAUUGAUUCUCUAAUAGGUAAAGGCAGUUUUGGUCAAGUAGUAAAAGCAUUUGAUCUUGAGGAACAAACACUAGUGGCAAUAAAAAUCAUUAAAAAUAAAAAACCUUUUCUCAAUCAAGCGCAAAUUGAAGUUAGGUUAUUAGAAAUGAUGAAUAGAGCUGAUACCGAUAACAAGUAUUAUAUAGUUAAACUAAAAAGGCAUUUUAUGUGGAGAAAUCAUUUAUGUCUGGUAUUUGAACUACUGUCUUACAAUCUUUAUGACCUACUUAGAAAUACAAAUUUUCGAGGGGUAUCAUUAAACCUCACGAGGAAGUUUGCACAACAAUUGUGUACUGCCUUAUUAUUCCUAUCAACACCGGAAUUGAACAUCAUUCACUGUGAUUUAAAACCUGAAAAUAUAUUAUUGUGCAAUCCAAAAAGAAGUGCGAUAAAAAUUGUUGAUUUUGGUAGUUCUUGUCAACUUGGACAAAGGAUAUAUCAAUACAUUCAAUCUAGGUUUUAUCGUUCACCUGAAGUUUUACUUGGUAUACCUUAUGAUUUAGCGAUAGACAUGUGGAGUCUUGGAUGUAUUUUAGUUGAAAUGCAUACGGGUGAACCAUUGUUUAGUGGUGCUAAUGAGGUUGAUCAAAUGAAUAAAAUUGUGGAAGUAUUGGGUUUGCCACCAAAACAUAUACUAGACCAAGCGCAUAAAGCAAGAAAAUAUUUUGAUAAAGUACCAACUGAUGGUUCAUAUGUGCUAAAAAAAUCAAAAGAUGGUAAAAAAUAUAGACUACCUGGUACAAGACGAUUACAAGAAAUUUUAGGUGUUGAAACUGGUGGUCCUGGUGGUAGAAGAAGUACCGAGCCAGGUCAUUCAAUAUCUGAUUAUCUUAAAUUUAAAGAUCUUAUACUUAGAAUGCUUGAUUUUGAUCCAAAAACAAGAGUUACGCCGUACUAUGCAUUACAGCAUAAUUUUUUUAAAAGAACUGCUGAUGAAGGGACCAACACAAAUAUAGCAGCUGCCAAUAGUGCAAAUACAAGUCCGGCAGUAGUUUCAAUGAGUCAAGACAGUGGAUCAGCCUCGACAGAUGAUCGAUGACAGAGUGUAGCCAGUCAGAACACAGCGUGUUUCAUUACCCGAAUUUUAGGAGUUUUGAUUUGUGCAGAAAAUAUGAUGGGGGGACAGUACGUGGCUCGAUGACUGUCGUAUCCGCGGGGCGGUGACAACCUGUCCUAGGCCCCCAACCCUA